AUACUCCCCGAUUUCCCUUCUCCUAGCACCUGGGCCCCUGGGCUACUGCUGCCCUCUGGCCCAGCCUUGCUAUCUCCCUCCGUCCUGCAGGACAGCCUCUCCCUGGGGCGCUCGGAGCAGCCGCACCCCAUCUGCUCCUUCCAGGAUGACUUCCAGGAGUUUGAGAUGAUUGAUGACAAUGAAGAGGAGGACGAUGAGGACGAGGAAGAGGAGGAGGAGGAGGAGGAGGGAGAUGGGGAAGGCCAGGAGGGAGGAGACCCUGGCUCAGAGGCACCUGCCCCUGGGCCCCUUAUCCCCUCCCCUUCCCUGGAGGAGCCCCACAAGCACCGGCCCACCACGCUCCGUCUGACCACACUGGGGGCCCAGGACUCCCUGAACAACAACGGAGGCUUUGACCUGGUGCGUCCGGCCUCCUGGCAGGAGACAGCGCUAUGCUCACCCGCCCCGGAGGCCCUCAGAGAGCUCCCGGGCCCCCUCCCUGCCACGGACGCAGGGCCCGGCGGGGCGCAGUCGCCAGGGCGCCCGGGUUGCGACUGCGAAGGGAACCGGCCUGCGGAACCCCCGGCGCCAGGGGGGACUUCGCCCUCCUCAGAUCCCGGCAUCGAGGCUGACCUGAGAAGCCGCUCGAGCGGCGGCCGCGGGGGACGUCGGAGCAGCCAGGAGCUGUCCUCGCCCGGCUCCGACUCGGAGGACGCGGGCGGCGCGCGCCUGGGGCGCAUGAUCUCGUCCAUCUCGGAGACGGAGCUGGAGCUGAGCAGCGAUGGCGGAAGCAGCAGCAGCGGCCGCUCCUCGCACCUCACCAACUCCAUCGAGGAGGCCUCGUCGCCCGCCUCGGAGCCGGAGCCCCCGCGCGAACCCCCGCGCCGCCCCGCCUUCCUGCCCGUGGGCCCCGACGACACCAACAGCGAGUACGAGUCGGGGUCGGAGUCGGAGCCGGACCUCAGCGAGGACGCGGACUCGCCCUGGCUGCUCAGCAACCUGGUGAGCCGCAUGAUCUCCGAGGGCUCCUCGCCCAUCCGCUGCCCCGGCCAGUGCCUGUCUCCUGCGCCGCGCCCGCUCGGGGAGCCCGUGUCGCCGUCCGGCGGGGCGGCCCAGGACUCCCAGGACCCCGAGGCGGCCGCGGGGCCCGGCGGCGUGGAGCUGGUGGACAUGGAGACGCUGUGCGCGCCGCCGCCGCCCGCGCCCGCCGCGCCUCGACCCGGCCCCGCGCAGCCCGGGCCCUGCCUAUUCCUCAGCAACCCCACGCGUGACACCAUCACGCCGCUGUGGGCCGCGCCCGGCCGCGCCGCCCGCCCGGGACGAGCCUGCUCCGCCGCCUGCUCCGAGGAGGAGGACGAAGAGGACGACGAGGAAGAGGAGGAUGCCGAGGACAGUGCGGGGCCCCCCGGGGGCAGGGGCACGGGCCCCUCGGCGCCGCGGGACGCCUCGCUGGUGUACGACGCGGUCAAGUACACGCUGGUGGUGGAUGAGCACACGCAGCUGGAGCUGGUGAGCCUGCGGCGCUGUGCUGGGCUGGGCCACGACAGCGAAGAGGACAGCGGCGGGGAGGCCAGCGAGGAGGAGGCGGGCGCGGCGCUGCUAGGCAGCGGUCAGGUCUCGGGGGACACCUCGCCGGACAGCCCUGACCUCACUUUCUCCAAGAAGUUCCUCAAUGUCUUCGUCAACAGCACAUCUCGGUCCUCCAGCACCGAGUCCUUUGGCCUUUUCUCCUGUCUGGUCAACGGCGAGGAGCGAGAGCAGACUCACCGGGCUGUGUUCAGGUUCAUCCCGCGGCAUCCAGACGAGCUGGAGCUGGAUGUGGAUGACCCUGUGUUGGUGGAGGCCGAGGAGGACGACUUCUGGUUCCGUGGCUUCAACAUGCGCACGGGGGAGCGCGGUGUGUUCCCCGCCUUCUACGCCCACGCGGUGCCCGGCCCUGCCAAGGACCUGCUGGGGAGCAAGCGGAGCCCCUGCUGGGUGGAGCGCUUUGACGUGCAGUUCCUGGGCUCUGUGGAGGUGCCCUGCCACCAGGGCAAUGGCAUCCUGUGUGCAGCCAUGCAGAAGAUUGCCACUGCCCGGAAACUGACCGUCCACCUGCGCCCUCCUGCCUCCUGUGACCUCGAGAUCUCUCUUCGGGGGGUCAAGCUGAGUCUGAGCGGAGGAGGGCCCGAGUUCCAGCGCUGCAGCCAUUUCUUCCAGAUGAAGAACAUCUCCUUCUGUGGCUGCCAUCCCCGCAACAGCUGCUAUUUCGGCUUCAUCACCAAACACCCGCUGCUGAGCCGCUUCGCCUGCCAUGUCUUUGUCUCCCAGGAGUCCAUGAGGCCGGUGGCGCAGAGUGUGGGCCGCGCCUUCCUGGAGUACUACCAAGAGCACCUGGCGUACGCCUGCCCCACGGAGGACAUCUACCUGGAGUAGCCCGCCCACCGCUCUGUCUCCUGGCCGUCUGCUCCAGGCGCAGCUGGGGCUGAGGAUGUCUCAAGAGGCCACGAUGGCUGUGGCAAGGACUGGACUGGGGGGACGUGGGACCUUACGCUUGUGGGGGUCUGCGGGCUGGGAACUCUCGUCCUCGGUCCCCAGGGCGCAGCUGUGGGGGCUGCGGGGGAGUGGAGCCCCCGUGCCCCCGCUUUUCCUCAGAUCCGUUCUUUCUCUGUGUUGUCCUCCUCCUUCCCUCCCCAGUCUCCCUUUUCUCUCUCCUGGUGUCUCUGCCCCUCUCUGUGCCUGCAAACCUUAUCCUCUACUCUUCACUUUGGGGUCAGAACUUCGGGGGUGUGGAGGAGGUGCGGCUCUAGGGACGGGUAAUGUCGGCUUCCAAGUGAUGCCCUCCUGCUACUCCCCUGCGAUUUGUAAGGGAAUUUUAAUUUUUAUAGUGAAUCUCAAGGGAUCAUCCCAUCCUUAACCACAGGGACAAGAGGGGCCCCCUCGCCCCAGCCCCACCCCACAUGGAGCUCAGGGGGAAGCAGGGAGGGGUUCCCAAAAGAGCCCUGCGGAGGCUAGGAGUGGUUCUUGAUGCUCACCUGAAGCCCCUAGACGCUGCUAGGAGGGGGGGCCCCUCCUGGGCCCCCAAUACUCCGCUUGCCGCUGCUAGCGCACCCCUGCAGUCCAGCGUGCAUCCGCCCCACGCACGCCCCGUGCUGUGUUCCUGGGCCCUGCCCAUGGCCUCAAUAAACUCUCUGCUUGGUGUGACAUUGGCUGUUUCUAGGGGGUGCUGAGACACGGGGCCAGGAACCCAGGGGCUGCCCAUUGUGGUAGGGACAGAGUCCCCAGUGGCGGGGGUGUCGUGGGAAUCUCACCCUUUUAGUUCUGUCCGAAAUUGUGCCGGGGUCCCUGCGGUGCUGCUCUGGGGCCUCAUCUGAGGUGCCGUAUCUAGAAGCACCUUUGGGAAUUCUCCCCAGAUACACUCGAGGAAUCCGAGGCUGUGCAAUGGGGUGUCCUUUCCACGUGCACGGACUGGGGGCCAGCAUGGCUCAGGUCAGUGUGUAGUGGGGGCAUGAACUCCUUGAAGAACAAUCUGGCCGGGCGCGGUGGCUCACGCUUGUAAUCCCAACACUUUGGGAGGCCGAGCCGGGCGGAUCACCUGAGGUCAGGAGUUUGAGACCAGCUUGGCCAACAUGGUUGAAACCCUGUCUCCACAAAAAAUACAAAAAUUAGCCAGGUAUCCUGGCGCACACCUGUAAUCCCAGCUACUCAGGAGGCUAAGGCACGAGAAUCACUUGAACCUGGGAGGCGGAGGUUGCAGUGAGCCGAGAUCGCACCGCUGUACUCCAGCCUGGGCGACAGAGGGAGACUCCAUCUCAAAAAGGAGAAGAAAAACAAUCUACUUAGAUCUUAAAAUGGAUAUUUAAAAAAUUCUCCAGAGAAAGCCAGAAGAAAAUAGGUGACUUUUUCACUACGUGCUUAGGUGACUGCAGAUGCCCAGCGAUGUUCCCUCCCAGGCCCUCCUGGGUGAGCCCGUCUCCCAGGCAGGGGUCCCCAUGGCCGGGGUCCCUCUGUCUGAGCCCAGGAUUCGUGCAUCACCAGGAGGACAACAGUUGAAGGUUCCCUAGUGAGCUAAGGGAAGUAUACACAAACUUACUACAUACACAUUAGAAAGUGCUGUCCGUAAAAAACACGUCUCUACAGAGCCAACAAGCAGAGAAAUAGCUGUCCAGCGUUAGGAAGUGCGUCAUGAUCCAGAGGUUCAGCCCGUGUGCAGUGUACAGACCCGAGGCCCCAGAGGGACCAAGGACGCAGACCAGCGGCACGACGGAAACGCAGAACGUGUAUGAGAAAACUUUCCCACUAAUUGAGAUAAAGCUGUAAAGAGGCAGAUGGCCCCACUGGGUGUGUACGUUUGAAACUUGUUCUCCCUGGGCUAGGGCAUUCGGGGUGUGGCCCUCAGUCCCCUGUAGCUGCUGCCUGGAAACCUUUGCCACCCACCCACCUCCUCCCUCUGCUCUUCCACUCAGGUGAGAAUUCUCCAAGCCCUUCCCUCCGGCGCCCCCGUCCCGCCCCUGUCCGGCCCGGCCCCGCCCCCCAACGUGUCUUCAGGUCUCUUUCCCUCCAGCCGGCCCUUAGGACGGCUGUUGGACGUGCUCGUGAGUCCUUCACCUGUCUGCCUGCCACCUCUCUGCAGCUCCUUCUCCAAUCUCAUGGAGAGCUUGGCCGCCCUCCACGCCCCAUCCCGGGCUUGGUCGGUUCUGGGGUGUAUCUCUCUGGCUUCAUCCCUCCCACAGUUUCAAGGGUUUCCCUGUGCUCAGGCCCCUGGCGGCCGCCCCCUGUGCAGACCACUGGGCAGAUCCAGCUGACCUCCAGGGGCACUUCCUCGGCUCAUCACUGGGCCGGUGCUCUGCAGAAUGAGCUGUGAGAGCCACUGUAGCUGGCCAGAGGGUGCCACUCACAGUCACUUCAGACUCACAGGAGCCUUCGCCCCGACCCCUGCAUUCAUCUGUGUUCUGUUUUAUGUGUUUUCCCAGUCACCUGAGCUGCAGGUCUUGGUCACCCCAGACUCCUCCCUCCUGUCACCCUUAUCCUCACCCCAGCACCUUUACGUCUGCCCCUGGCUCCAUUUCCCCCUCCUCUGCCUGGACCAAACCACCCCGACUUUCCUGGAUCUUCGUGCAACAGCUCCGGCCGCUGCCUCACCGCACCUGCAAAUCCACUCUCACCCACACCCAGGCCAGGGUUUUUCAACAGAAGCCUCAGCAGAUCCCUCUCUCUGGCCAGCUCUGAAGCAGGUCCCUGUUGAACCUCAGCAUGACUCGCCCCCACCCCUGCAUCCCACUUCCGCUUUGGGAGCCUCUGGGUUCCUGGGCAUACCUUCUGCCCUUCCCUGUUUGUCACUGGGUGACCUCCCGUUCUUCUGGGCGCUCCCGGGCCCUGGUCUCGGGCCUUCUGAGGACUUGCUUCUGGCUGCUCUCCUAGUAACAGCUGCUGACUGUGAGCCCAGAGAGCAGGCGUGGCUGUUGACCUUAGGUCCUCCCAGAACCUGGCGGAUCGCCUGGCUCGCAGGCAGGAGGCGCUGCAUGAUGCCUCCAACUUCCGCCAAUCUAGCCCAAGGAUGGCAUCCUAAAUAAAACGCGUUCUACAGAAAAGUG
rnacentral:sRNA from 1 species